rnacentral:rRNA from 1 species
UACGGGGGAGCAAGCGUUGUUCGGAUUUACUGGGCGUAAAGAGCUCGUAGGCGGCUUGUCACGUCGACGUGUGAAAACCCGGGGCUCAACUCCGGGCCUGCAGUCGAUACGGGCUGGCUUGAGUGCGGUAGGGGAGACUGGAAUUCCUGGUGUAGCGGUGAAAUGCGCAGAUAUCAGGAGGAACACCGGUGGCGAAGGCGGCCA